rnacentral:rRNA from 1 species
UCCGCACGAGCGCACCCUUAUCCUUAGUUGCCAGCACGUAAUGGUGGGAACUCUAAGGAGACCGCCGGUGACAAACCGGAGGAAGGUGGGGACGACGUCAAGUCAUCAUGGCCCUUACGAGAUGGGCUACACACGUGCUACAAUGGCAAGUACAAAGGGUUGCAAACUCGCGAGAGUAAGCGGAUCCCAUAAAGCUUGUCGUAGUCCGGAUUGGAGUCUGCAACUCGACUCCAUGAAGUCGGAAUCGCUAGUAAUCGUGGAUCAGAAUGCCACGGUGAAUACGUUCCCGGGCCUUGUACACACCGCCCGUCACACCAUGGGAGUGGGCUGCAAAAGAAGUGGAUAGCUUAACCUUCGGGAGGGCGUUCACCACUUUGUGGUUCAUGACUGGGGUGAAGUCGUAACAAGGUAGCCGUAGGGGAACCUGCGGCUGGAUCACCUCCUU